rnacentral:lncRNA from 1 species
UAAGUCAGCAUCAGAGGUGUCGAUGACUUCCCAGUGUGUGAGACUCAAGAGUUCUUCUCCGUCUUCGAUUUCCAAGAGGAAGAGGAAGUAAAAUCUGUACCAGAGGAAGAGGAAGGGAAAGAAUGAUUUCUAAGCACAGGAUUUGAAUCAAACCCUGCCAAAAUAACUUGGUCCACAGGAUCAAAGGACACAGAUCCGAAGAGGAUCGUUGCCCUUCUAAUUUGAUUCUUUGUGUAAUUAAUAUUAUUUAUUUCUUAACAAAUUUCUCUAAUGAAUUAAUCAUUUGACUUAUAUUACAAAAAUAGUUUAAAUUAGAAUGGUUAUGGUAGUAUAUAAUUUGGGUUACAGGCAACCAUAUAGACUUGUGAUAGGAGCAUAUUUAUGCGCCUUAGUUAGCUAGUUCUUAUGCAUUUUCGUUAUGUUUU